ACAGACCUUGAGUGAGCGACUUGUUCAGAGCCUCACAUCUACAGUAGUUAGACGCGGAGACAGAAUCAGAAUCUUAGGCUUGAGGCUUCCAAACUUGCGUUUAUGGCUUACUGUAAGCGGGAAACACAUUGCAGAGCCUUAUUUAAUCAAUCUCCUAAGAUCCUGCGGGGGUAAAGAGCUCCAUUUUAAGGAAAGGAAAACCGAGUGCCCGAGAUCUGACCCAGCUUGUCCAAGUUUGGGUGGUUAAGUAUACAUUUUGCCCGGCACUGAUCUGGGCGGUGCAUGUGGGAAGAUGAAUAGGGCCCAGUUCCCCGACUUUGAGGGCCUCACAGGCUGAUGUGUAAGAGACAGGAAAACAGCCCUAGUGCUUUGUGAUCAACCUUGUGGUAUUACAGAAGAGGAAGUUUAGGAAGGCACUUUAGAAUUUAGUUUGGAAGAAUGAUUUCACCAGGUAAACAGGCAGGACGGGGCUUCCCACGUAAAGAUUGGUGCUGGUGAAGAGAAGCAAAAGGAAGGAGGCAAAAAGAAGAACAAAGAAGGAUCUGGAGAUGGAGGUCGAGCUGAGUUGAAUCCUUGGCCUGAAUAUAUUUACACACGUCUUGAGAUGUAUAAUAUACUAAAAGCAGAACAUGAUUCCAUUCUGGCAGAAAAGGCAGAAAAAGAUAGCAAGCCAAUUAAAGUCACUUUGCCUGAUGGUAAACAGGUUGAUGCGGAAUCUUGGAAAACUACACCAUAUCAAAUUGCCUGUGGAAUUA
rnacentral:lncRNA from 10 species